rnacentral:rRNA from 1 species
UGGGGAAUAUUGGACAAUGGGCGAAAGCCUGAUCCAGCCAUGCCGCGUGUGUGAAGAAGGCCUUUUGGUUGCAAAGCACUUUAAGUGGGGAGGAAAAGCUUAUGGUUAAUACCCAUAAGCCCUGACGUUACCCACAGAAUAAGCACCGGCUAACUCUGUGCCAGCAGCCGCGGUAAUACAGAGGGUGCAAGCGUUAAUCGGAAUUACUGGGCGUAAAGCGCGCGUAGGUGGUUAUUUAAGUCGGAUGUGAAAGCCCCGGGCUUAACCUGGGAACUGCAUCUGAUACUGGAUAACUAGAGUAGGUGAGAGGGGAGUAGAAUUCCAGGUGUAGCGGUGAAAUGCGUAGAGAUCUGGAGGAAUACCGAUGGCGAAGGCAGCUCCCUGGCAUCAUACUGACACUGAGGUGCGAAAGCGUGGGUAGCAAACAGGAUUAGAUACCCUGGUAGUCCACGCCGUAAACGAUGUCUACCAGUCGUUGGGUCUUUUAAAGACUUAGUGACGCAGUUAACGCAAUAAGUAGACCGCCUGGGGAGUACGGCCGCAAGGUUA